AUGCUUGUGACAUCAUUACUAUAUGUGAUGCAGGGCAAAAGGAUGCUGUCAGAAUGUAAAAGCACAUUUAACCAUUUCCUGUUUUUUUCCUUGCCUGUUUUCGCCGUCGUAUACACUGCAUCUCCCACGGCGGCCAAGCAGCUCGUGGCAUCUGUGUCACGCCUGCUCUGCCGCUGCCUGGACCCGCCGACGACGUCGCCGGUUGAGCCGCAAGGGUGCAAGAUCAUCGUGGGGCCCAUUGCAUGGGCUCCGAGUAUGCUUGAUUGCCAUGUCGGAGGCGAAGGUGCUAGAGCUUGGUGGCGUGUUUGCAUUUCUGGAUGCAUGAAUAAUUGUCAAGGAGGCUGA
rnacentral:rRNA from 1 species